AUGUGGCACAUGGUGUGGUUUGUUAAUGGUUCCUUGAAAAGGAACGUAUUUGUACGUAUCGGUUAAUUCAGGGCUAGACCGCGUUCUAGCGAACGGGGACCGUUGGAUGUCAUUGACCAAAAGACCAGAUUUCAAAUUCCGUUGACCUUGGUUAGUUUGACCAGGAGUCGCAACACGAGCCUUGGGUGAACUUUCCGACUGGUUAUUGGUAGAUCGAGUGUGGUCAAAGUCAGACUCUUGACCAACAGUUUCUGACUUUUUGCCACUUGAAGUACUCAUUUUAGUAUCGAUUUUCAAAACCGUUGAAUCAGUAACGGGUAAGGGUGCAUCAGGACGUAUACCAUUGCCAUGUCGGUCCCACGUGUUGGUAAAAAACUGGUUUACUUCCGCAACAAGAUUUUCCUUCGGGCAGUCCAGGAACUUCGCGAGUCUUUUGGCCCCAAGCGCGAACGCACUACGUAUUCUGUAAAAAUUAC
rnacentral:lncRNA from 1 species